rnacentral:rRNA from 1 species
UGGGGAAUAUUGGACAAUGGGCGAAAGCCUGAUCCAGCCAUGCCGCGUGAGUGAUGAAGGCCCUAGGGUUGUAAAGCUCUUUCAACGGUGAAGAUAAUGACGGUAACCGUAGAAGAAGCCCCGGCUAACUUCGUGCCAGCAGCCGCGGUAAUACGAAGGGGGCUAGCGUUGUUCGGAAUUACUGGGCGUAAAGCGCACGUAGGCGGAUUGUUAAGUUAGGGGUGAAAUCCCGGGGCUCAACCCCGGAACUGCCUUUAAUACUGGCAAUCUCGAGUCCGAGAGAGGUGAGUGGAAUUCCGAGUGUAGAGGUGAAAUUCGUAGAUAUUCGGAGGAACACCAGUGGCGAAGGCGGCUCACUGGCUCGGUACUGACGCUGAGGUGCGAAAGCGUGGGGAGCAAACA